rnacentral:rRNA from 1 species
GAUGAACGCUGGCGGCGCGCCUAACACAUGCAAGUCGAACGAUUAAAGCACCUUCGGGUGUGUAUAAAGUUGCGAACGGCUGAGUAACACAUGGGCAACCUGCCCCUUUCAUUGGGAUAGCUACGUUAAACCGUGGAUAAUACCUAAUACUUCGAGACUUCCGCAUGGAAGACUCGAGAAAGCUCCGGCGGUAAGGGUUGGGCCCGCGGCCUGUUAGCUUGUUGUUGGGGUAACGGCAUAUCAAGGCAAUGAUGGGUAGCUGUGGUUAGAGAUCGACCAGCGAGAUUAGGACUGAGACAGGGAGCAGGAUCCUACGGGAGGCAGCAGUGGGGAAUCUGGCACAGCAGGGGAAAGCGUGUGGCAGAGGUCCUGGGUGCGGGAUGAAGGCCUUUGAGUUGAAAACCGCUUUCAACAGGGACGAGGCGGAAGUGACGGUACCUGCAGAAAAAGCCACGGCUAACUACGUG